UACGUAGGGUGCGAGCGUUGUCCGGAAUUAUUGGGCGUAAAGAGCUUGUAGGCGGUUUGUCGCGUCGGGAGUGAAAACCAGGUGCUUAACACCUGGCUUGCUUUCGAUACGGGCAGACUAGAGGUAUGCGGGGGAGAACGGAAUUCCUGGUGUAGCGGUGAAAUGCGCAGAUAUCAGGAGGAACACCGGUGGCGAAGGCGGCUUUCUGGCUCGUUUCUGACGCUCAGACGCGAAAGCGUGGGUAGCAAACAGG
rnacentral:rRNA from 1 species